rnacentral:rRNA from 1 species
AGCAGCCACCUUUUAAAACGCGUCAAAGCGUAACCUAAACCCCCCCCCAAAAUACCAUUAAUUUUCAUGAACCCCUAAUUUAUAAUGAAUGACUCCAUAUUUAUAUGGAAGACACCAUGCUAGGAUUAGUAACAAGAAUUUAUAAUUCUCCAAAAUGCAAAUAUAAACCAACAUGGAUAGACCAUUGGUAGUUACCGAACCUAAAUUUACUGCAAUAACACCCACAAGAAAACUCUGCAGUACUUACUCGUUAACCUAACACCAGCGCAUUACAGGAAAGAUUAAAAAAAAGAGAAGGAAUUCGGCAAAUGACGGCCCCGCCUGUUUACCAAAAACAUCGCCUCUUGACUUAUAAUAAGAGGUCCAGCCUGCCCAGUGAAUUUUAAACGGCCGCGGUAUCCUAACCGCGCGAAGGUAGCAUAAUCACUUGUUCUUUAAAUGGGGACUCGUAUCAACGGCAUCACGAGGGUUUUACUGUCUCCUCUUUUUGAUCAGUGAAAUUGAUCUUCCCGUGAAGAAGCGGGGAUAUUUUUAUAAGACGAGAAGACCCCAUGGAGCUUUAAACCAAAUAACAACUUAACUACUUAUCCCACAAUAAAUUUAAGCCCUGUUAUAAGGUUUUUGGUUGGGGUGACCGCGGAGUAAAGCACAUCCUCCACGACGGAAAGAACAUAAUCUUUAUUUAAGAACCACACUUCUAGAAAUUAGUAUACUAACGUUUACUGACCCGACAAUCGAUCAACGGACCAAGUUACCCUGGGGAUAACAGCGCAAUCUACUUCAAGAGCUCAUAUCGACAAGUAGGCUUACGACCUCGAUGUUGGAUCAGGGUAUCCCGGUGGUGCAGCCGCUACCGAAGGUUCGUUUGUUCAACGAUUAAAACCCUACGUGAUCUG